rnacentral:rRNA from 1 species
UACGUAUGGGGCGAGCGUUGUCCGGAAUUAUUGGGCGUAAAGGGUACGUAGGCGGUUAGAUAAGUCAGAUGUAAAAGCGUGGGGCUCAACCCCAUAAAGCAUUUGAAACUGUGUAACUUGAGUAGUGGAGAGGAAAGUGGAAUUCCUAGUGUAGCGGUGAAAUGCGUAGAUAUUAGGAGGAAUACCAGUGGCGAAGGCGACUUUCUGGACACAAACUGACGCUGAGGUACGAAAGCAUGGGGAGCAAACAGGAUUAGAUACCCUGGUAGUCCAUGCCGUAAACGAUGAAUGCUAGGUGUCGGGGGUCAAACCUCGGUGCCGCAGUUAACACAGUAAGCAUUCCGCCUGGGGAGUACGGUGGCAACACUGAA